UUUGAGGUCAUACAGCGAGAAUUGUCUCAA
rnacentral:piRNA from 1 species